AACGCACCUUGCGCUCCUUGGUAUUCCGAGGAGCAUGCCUGUUUGAGUGUCAUUAAAUUCUCAACCCCUCCAGCUUUUGCGAGUUGUGAUGGGGCUUGGAUAUGGGAGUUUGCGGGUCUUUAUCAAUAAAGGUCAGCUCUCCUGAAAUGCAUUAGCGGAACCGUUUGCAGUCCCGUCACUAGUGUGAUAAUUAUCUACACUGUGAUGAUUGCUCUCUGACUAGUUCAGCUGCUAAUCGUCCACUAUGGACAAUACUUAAUGAACUUCUUGACCUCAAAUCAGGUAGGACUACCCGCUGAACUUAA
rnacentral:misc_RNA from 1 species